UUAAGCGACUAAGCGUACACGGUGGAUGCCCUGGCAGUCAGAGGCGAUGAAGGACGUGCUAAUCUGCGAAAAGCGUCGGUAAGGUGAUAUGAACCGUUAUAACCGGCGAUGUCCGAAUGGGGAAACCCAGUGUGAUUCGUCACACUAUCGUUAACUGAAUACAUAGGUUAACGAGGCGAACCGGGGGAACUGAAACAUCUAAGUACCCCGAGGAAAAGAAAUCAACCGAGAUUCCCCCAGUAGCGGCGAGCGAACGGGGAGCAGCCCAGAGUCUGAAUCAGCUUGUGUGUUAGUGGAACGGUCUGGAAAGUCCGACGGUACAGGGUGAUAGUCCCGUACACCAAAAUGCACAGGCUGUGAACUCGAAGAGUAGGGCGGGACACGUGGUAUCCUGUCUGAAUAUGGGGGGGACCAUCCUCCAAGGCUAAAUACUCCUGACUGACCGAUAGUGAACCAGUACCGUGAGGGAAAGGCGAAAAGAACCCCGGCGAGGGGAGUGAAAAAGAACCUGAAACCGUGUACGUACAAGCAGUGGGAGCACCUUCGGGUGUGACUGCGUACCUUUUGUAUAAUGGGUCAGCGACUUAUAUUCUGUAGCAAGGUUAACCGUAUAGGGGAGCCGCAGGGAAACCGAGUCUUAACUGGGCGUUAAGUUGCAGGGUAUAGACCCGAAACCCGGUGAUCUAGCCAUGGGCAGGUUGAAGGUUGGGUAACACUAACUGGAGGACCGAACCGACUAAUGUUGAAAAAUUAGCGGAUGACUUGUGGCUGGGGGUGAAAGGCCAAUCAAACCGGGAGAUAGCUGGUUCUCCCCGAAAGCUAUUUAGGUAGCGCCUCGUGAAUUCAUCUUCGGGGGUAGAGCACUGUUUCGGCUAGGGGGUCAUCCCGACUUACCAACCCGAUGCAAACUACGAAUACCGAAGAAUGUUAUCACGGGAGACACACGGCGGGUGCUAACGUCCGUCGUGAAGAGGGAAACAACCCAGACCGCCAGCUAAGGUCCCAAAGUCACAGUUAAGUGGGAAACGAUGUGGGAAGGCACAGACAGCCAGGAUGUUGGCUUAGAAGCAGCCAUCAUUUAAAGAAAGCGUAAUAGCUCACUGGUCGAGUCGGCCUGCGCGGAAGAUGUAACGGGGCUAAACUGUGCACCGAAGCUGCGGCAGCGACACUAUGUGUUGUUGGGUAGGGGAGCGUUCUGUAAGCCUGCGAAGGUGGCCUGUGAGGGUUGCUGGAGGUAUCAGAAGUGCGAAUGCUGACAUAAGUAACGAUAAAGCGGGUGAAAAGCCCGCUCGCCGGAAGACCAAGGGUUCCUGUCCAACGUUAAUCGGGGCAGGGUGAGUCGACCCCUAAGGCGAGGCCGAAAGGCGUAGUCGAUGGGAAACAGGUUAAUAUUCCUGUACUUGGUGUUACUGCGAAGGGGGGACGGAGAAGGCUAUGUUAGCCGGGCGACGGUUGUCCCGGUUUAAGCAUGUAGGCUGGUUAUCCAGGCAAAUCCGGAUAAUCAAGGCUGAGGUGUGAUGACGAGGCACUACGGUGCUGAAGUAACAAAUGCCCUGCUUCCAGGAAAAGCCUCUAAGCAUCAGGUAACAUCAAAUCGUACCCCAAACCGACACAGGUGGUCAGGUAGAGAAUACCAAGGCGCUUGAGAGAACUCGGGUGAAGGAACUAGGCAAAAUGGUGCCGUAACUUCGGGAGAAGGCACGCUGGUGUGUAGGUGAAGCCCCUGCGGGUGGAGCUGAGACCAGUCGAAGAUACCAGCUGGCUGCAACUGUUUAUUAAAAACACAGCACUGUGCAAACACGAAAGUGGACGUAUACGGUGUGACGCCUGCCCGGUGCCGGAAGGUUAAUUGAUGGGGUUAUCCGUAAGGAGAAGCUCUUGAUCGAAGCCCCGGUAAACGGCGGCCGUAACUAUAACGGUCCUAAGGUAGCGAAAUUCCUUGUCGGGUAAGUUCCGACCUGCACGAAUGGCGUAAUGAUGGCCAGGCUGUCUCCACCCGAGACUCAGUGAAAUUGAACUCGCUGUGAAGAUGCAGUGUACCCGCGGCAAGACGGAAAGACCCCGUGAACCUUUACUAUAGCUUGACACUGAACAUUGAGCCUUGAUGUGUAGGAUAGGUGGGAGGCUUUGAAGCGUGGACGCCAGUCUGCGUGGAGCCAACCUUGAAAUACCACCCUUUAAUGUUUGAUGUUCUAACGUUGGCCCCUGACCGGGGUUGCGGACAGUGUCUGGUGGGUAGUUUGACUGGGGCGGUCUCCUCCCAAAGCGUAACGGAGGAGCACGAAGGUUAGCUAAUCCUGGUCGGACAUCAGGAGGUUAGUGCAAUGGCAUAAGCUAGCUUGACUGCGAGCGUGACGGCGCGAGCAGGUGCGAAAGCAGGUCAUAGUGAUCCGGUGGUUCUGAAUGGAAGGGCCAUCGCUCAACGGAUAAAAGGUACUCCGGGGAUAACAGGCUGAUACCGCCCAAGAGUUCAUAUCGACGGCGGUGUUUGGCACCUCGAUGUCGGCUCAUCACAUCCUGGGGCUGAAGUAGGUCCCAAGGGUAUGGCUGUUCGCCAUUUAAAGUGGUACGCGAGCUGGGUUUAGAACGUCGUGAGACAGUUCGGUCCCUAUCUGCCGUGGGCGCUGGAGAAUUGAGGGGGGGCUGCUCCUAGUACGAGAGGACCGGAGUGGACGCAUCACUGGUGUUCGGGUUGUCAUGCCAAUGGCACUGCCCGGUAGCUAAAUGCGGAAGAGAUAAGUGCUGAAAGCAUCUAAGCACGAAACUUGCCCCGAGAUGAGUUCUCCCUGAGACUUUAAGUCUCCUGAAGGAACGUUGAAGACGACGACGUUGAUAGGCCGGGUGUGUAAGCGCAGCGAUGCGUUGAGCUAACCGGUACUAAUGAACCGUGAGGCUUAACCUU
rnacentral:rRNA from 1 species